rnacentral:rRNA from 1 species
UACGAAGGGUGCAAGCGUUACUCGGAAUUACUGGGCGUAAAGCGUGCGUAGGUGGUUUGUUAAGUCUGUUGUGAAAGCCCCGGGCUCAACCUGGGAAUGGCAAUGGAUACUGGCAAGCUAGAGUGCGGUAGAGGGUAGUGGAAUUCCUGGUGUAGCGGUGAAAUGCGCAGAUAUCAGGAAGAACACCCGUGGCUAAGGCGGCUCUCUAGUACGGUACUGACGCUGAGACGCGAAAGCGUGGGGAGCGAACAGG